UCAGGGUGAGACCAGCAGGCUGAGAUCAGAGCUGCUGCCCUGUUUGAACAGAAUCUGAACCGUCACCUGGACAGGUGGACAGAAAUCACCUGCAGACACACAGGAGACCUGCUGCUCUCUGAUUGGCYGCUUCAUCAGCUCAGGUGCAUCAGCUCCAGUUGAAUCUGACUCCAUCAGAUGAGCCCCCCAGCAGGGUCCAAGAUGCCCAUCAGGACCUUGUAGGAUCAGCAGURAACAGGUAGAACACACCUGAGCUGUUACCUGCACAUCCAGCACCAGACUGGAAACAUCAGGGGUCAAAGGUUAAGCGAUCAGGAAGUGACCUGCACCUGCAGCCAGGCCAGCAUGACAUCAGCAGCUCACAGGAAGUGACCUCAUUCGUCAGGAGCGCAGAUUCUCACAGAACACCGCUGACAUCAUGGGACUGAUCACCCAAAGCAAACACACCUGCAGAGCCUCUUCCUCCUCCUCUUCCUCAGAUGA